rnacentral:rRNA from 1 species
CCUACGGGGGGCAGCAGUGGGGAAUAUUGGACAAUGGGGGCAACCCUGAUCCAGCCAUGCCGCGUGUGUGAAGAAGGCCCUCGGGUUGUAAAGCACUUUCAGUGAGGAAGAACGCCUGGUGGUUAAUACCCAUCAGGAAAGACAUCACUCACAGAAGAAGCACCGGCUAACUCCGUGCCAGCAGCCGCGGUAAUACGGAGGGUGCGAGCGUUAAUCGGAAUUACUGGGCGUAAAGCGCGCGUAGGUGGCUUGAUAAGCCGGUUGUGAAAGCCCCGGGCUCAACCUGGGAACGGCAUCCGGAACUGUCAAGCUAGAGUGCAGGGGAGGAAGGUAGAAUUCCCGGUGUAGCGGUGAAAUGCGUAGAGAUCGGGAGGAAUACCAGUGGCGAAGGCGGCCUUCUGGACUGACACUGACACUGAGGUGCGAAAGCGUGGGUAGCAAACAGGAUUAGAUACCCGGGUAGUC